rnacentral:rRNA from 1 species
CCUACGGGAGGCUGCAGUAGGGAAUCUUCCACAAUGGGCGCAAGCCUGAUGGAGCAACACCGCGUGAGUGAAGAAGGGUUUCGGCUCGUAAAGCUCUGUUGUAGGAGAAGAACGUGCGUGAGAGUAACUGUUCACGCAGUGACGGUAUCAAACCAGAAAGUAACGGAUAACUACGUGCCAGGAGCCGCGGUAAUAAGUAGGUGGCAAGCGUUAUCCGGAUUUAUGGGGCGGAAAGCGAGGGAGGGCGGUUGGUUAGGUCUGAUGUGAAAGCCUUCGGCUUAACCGAAGAAGUGCAUCGGAAACCGGGCGACUUGAGUGCAGCAGAGGACAGUGGAACUCCAUGUGUAGCGGUGGAAGUCGUAGAUAUAUGGAAGACCACCAGUGGCGAAGGCGGCUGUCUGGUCUGCAACUGACGCUGAGGCUCGAAAGCAUGGGUAGCGAACAGGAUUAGAUACCCGAGUAGUC